GCUUAAUCUACACUUAGGAAGUCCAUGCAUUUUUGGCAUUAGGGGUGGAGCGGAAAAAUUAUUUUUGGAGCACUAAAAUAGCCUUUAAUUAGCCUUUAAUUAUGGCAUAGGUUAUAUGUUGAAACUCCUAUGUGGUCGCCCUAGGUUUUUCGACAUUCCUCACGGCGCUCUUUCCACGGGGACGCUGGCCGUAGUCACUCAGAGUUCCUGGGGUACCAAUAAUGGCAUCCCGAAGGUUCGGCACCCUUUGGCACGGGUUCUCAACUCAAAAUUGCCUUGUGCCACUGUCGCCGGUUGAUUAUUUUCCCUGUCUUCUCCACCGGAAAUCCGAACCCACGCAACCCUUAUGGGCGGAGGCCGAAGGCACCAUCUUGCCGAGGACGGUGCGUGGAGGUGGAGAUUUUGGUAACGGGUCAUCCUGAUGCCGCGUUAUACAUGAUCAUGCUACGCGCAAGAAGGCAACAACUUUACACAUGCUCUUGCCGUCCACUUGUCUAUUUUAAAGAUGUCCUAUUCUGUCUCUGAUAUACUAGAACAAUAAUGUUAAACACAAUGCACAGCAAAUACUCGAUAAGUAAAUUGAUAAAAAAAUAUUUAGCUAUUAUAAAUAGCACAAACCAUUGUCCAUAGUACAUGUUAUAUAUGUCAAGAUCAAAUAUUUAAUAGAACUGAAUGGAUUCUAAUUCUAAAUUCACAUGCAAAACAGGUAACAAUAUUAUUCUUUAUUCGUGUAAUCGAUAAUACCAAGACAACCCCUACGUUAAUCCCACUUGCAAAUAAUCGGGUAUUACAAGAAAAUUGCAAUGUACCACGUUUUAUUUAUUAGUCGACAAUUGCCGUAACAAAGGACUGCAGUGGGAGUAGUAUCCCAGAAAAAGAGACUCAGUACGUUAAAGAGUUUCACAAUGCACACUCUUCCCUUGUGUUUCAAGUUUAUGAAAGGUGGAGGUCUUUGGUGACCGACCAACUGUUAACGACUGGUGAAAUUUCUGUACAAUGGUUACAGUUUAAUAAUCAUUUGUAUACUGCAUACAUUCACAUUCUCUGAAAUCAUUGAUCUGUUCAUUAACCUCGGUGACGUUGAAGACUUCACAAACAAUUUCUUUUUGUUGUUGACAAUGAUAGGUAUUUGUUGUAAGGCAACAGACAUACUGGGAAGACGCCAACGGUUUAAAAGAUUAAUCAAUUUUUUAUUCGACGAAUUAUGUCAACCGUGCAAUGUUGACGAAGAGAAAAUACAAAAAAAAAUGUGCAGAAACUUGCAGGAAGACAACACGAAAUUAUGUCUUUGCUAUCCUGCUAACAGUGGUGUCAUUGACACUGUGCCCUCUAAUCAAUGGUUUCAAUGAUCCUGUAUUGUCAUUCAGAGGUUGGGAGCCAUACAGCCUGCAUCAAGGACCAAUUUUUGGCUAACUUCUUCAUCAAGCAUUGGUCUUUAAUGUUGCUGCAAUAAUCAGUGCAGCUUAUGAUACGCUGAUUCUUGUAUUAAUGACUCAGACCUGUGAACAGUUGGAUAUACUCAAAUUUAAACUGCAUAACUUACCUA